GACAGAGGGUGCAAACGUUGUUCGGAAUUACUGGGCGUAAAGCGCGUGUAGGCUGCUCGGUAAGUCGGAUGUGAAAGCCCUGGGCUCAACCUAGGAAGUGCAUUCGAAACUUCCGAGCUGGAGUGCUGGAGAGGAAGGCGGAAUUCUCGGUGUAGAGGUGAAAUUCGUAGAUAUCGAGAGGAACACCGGUGGCGAAGGCGGCCUUCUGGACAGCGACUGACGCUGAGACGCGAAAGCGUGGGGAGCAAACAGG
rnacentral:rRNA from 1 species